UAUGUGAUCGUCUCUUGCAUAUCAAUAAGCGGAGGAAAAGAAACUAACAAGGAUUCCCCUAGUAACGGCGAGUGAAGCGGGAAGAGCUCAAAUUUGAAAUCUUAAAGGGUUUCCCUUUACGAAUUGUAGUUUAAAGAAGUGUUUUCUGUUGAGGUUUUGGUAAAAGUUCUUUGGAAUAGGACAUCAUAGAGGGUGAGGAUCCCGUAUUUGACCUUUACUUUCAACUUUGUGAUACACUUUCAAAGAGUCGGAUUGUUUAGGAAUGCAGUCCAAAAUGGGUGGUAAAUUUCAUCUAAAGCUAAAUAUUGGCGAGAGACCGAUAGCGAACAAGUACCGUGAGGGAAAGAUGAAAAGAACUUUGAAAAGAGAGUUAAACAGUACGUGAAAUUGUCAAAAGGGAAGCGUUUGACACCAGUGUUGUUUUUCUGAAAAUCAAUUAAAGAACUGUUUAUGCUAAGUUGUUUAGACUUUAUCAGCUAUCUGUUUAGUUUUGAGCUUUUCUUUAAUGCACUUUUCAGUUAACAAGUCAACAUCAAUUUCUUUUGCUGUAAAAAAGCUUGAGGAAGGUGGCUUGAGAUUCGUCUUAAGUGUUUAUAGCCUCUUGCCUAUGCAGUCGGAGAGAUUGAGGUCUGCAGCGUAGAUCCUUCGGGGCUAAAUGCAUUUGUGCUAAGAUUAUAGCAUUUUAUAGACAACUUGUUGACUAUGAUUUGUCUUGUAGCUUACUCGCUUAUGUUAUUUUACCUACGCUUAGGAUGUUGAGCGCAUGUCUCUCUCU
rnacentral:rRNA from 1 species